GGGCAAGCUCUUACCGGCAGGUUAGUCCUCUGUUGUUACCGCGAACGGACUUUACGCGGGGUGAAGUUUGCGCAGCGUUACGUGUCGUGUGCGUGUGGUCUUGGUCUGGACGGCGAUGGUCUGUCCGCAGGGAUUGGUGCGCUACCGAACCGGGUCAGGGCCGGAAGGCAGCAGCCCUAAGGCAACAUAUCGAUGCUCUGCGGGGUGCGGACCGGAGAAAGGAUCAAGGGUGCCAUCGGAUGCGUUGCGUUGCCAUGCGCAGGCGUGCUUGCCC
rnacentral:SRP_RNA from 1 species